rnacentral:lncRNA from 1 species
UUUGUACUGCUCGAGUUAUAGUAGUAGUAAGGCAGGACCACUUCAGAGUUUAGCUAAUGGUUUCCCAAACCAUAGCGAAACUUUACUCAUUAAUUUGCCGUCAUUACUCUCUCUGUCUUUAAAAAAAAAUUUACAAAAAUACAGAAUAAGACUACAUACAAUAAGCUCUUGCGGUCGGCCUUUCCCAAAAUUGUGAAUGUUGAGAUUAUACGAGAGAAAUCACAGAAAGUUAGAGAUAGAGAGUAGAGAGAAGG